rnacentral:rRNA from 1 species
ACUGACAUGGGAGUCUUCUUCGGGGCCGAUUGAUGCACGGUCGUCGGCGCCAUUAUGCCAUCCCCCGUUCGCAACAGGCCUAAAUGACCCACAUUUCCCGCGCAUCCGCCCAAACAUUCAGUCUCCACUUUAGGACGCCGAGUUGGCAUCUUGACGGAAACUAUGACGGUUGGAACUCAAGCUUUCUCUCCCUACCUUAAGGUCCACAUCACCACUUUAUGCAUCUAUAGACCUUCUUGUGGUCACCGCUUCCGCCAGGGAACCAAGCAUUGACUGCGACUCCGCGCUUUCGCACCCCUCGUUUGUCCUAAUCUAUGGGACCAUCAGGUGCGGCAUUUGCUACUUAUGGAUCACAAGCCCUAUAAAAUGAUAAGUCACNGCGUCGAUUGCGUAAUUCAUAAGGUGGACCCCUCAUGCCAGCGU